UACGUAGGCAGCGAGCGUUGUUCGGAGUUACUGGGCGUAAAGAGUGCGUAGGCGGUUUUCUAAGUUUGGUGUGAAAUCUCCCGCUUAACUGGGAGGGUGCGCCGAAAACUGGAAGGCUUGAGUAUGGGAGAGGUAAGCGGAAUUCCUGGUGUAGCGGUGAAAUGCGUAGAUAUCUGGAGGAACACCGGUGGCGAAGGCGGCGUUCUGGACUGCAACUGACACUGUAAAACGAAAGCCAGGGGAGCAAACAGG
rnacentral:rRNA from 1 species